UACGGAGGGUGCAAGCGUUGUCCGGAAUCACUGGGCGUAAAGGGCGCGUAGGCGGCUCAUGAAGGCUGUGGUGAAAGUCCGGGGCUCAACCUCGGAUCGGCCGUGGCGACUCGUGGGCUGGAGCACUGUAGAGGCGGGUGGAAUUCCGGGUGUAGCGGUGAAAUGCGUAGAUAUCGGGAGGAACACCUGUGGCGAAAGCGGCUCACUGGACCACAACUGACGCUGAGGCGCGAAAGCUAGGGGAGCAAACAGG
rnacentral:rRNA from 1 species